rnacentral:rRNA from 1 species
AUGCCGGGCUGCGCGACCAGCUGCGGCAACGUGAGCGUGCCGUGCCCGUUUGGGGUGGGCCCGGAAAGGUGCUACUGGCCGGGGUUCAACCUCACCUGCGACCGCCGGAGCAGCCCGCCGCGGCUCCUCCUCGGCGACGGCAGCCUCCAGGUCGUGGAGGACAUCCUCCUCGGGUCCGCUAUCACCGUCGUGCGCCAAGGCGACAUAAGGCUCGACGAGAACGGCGCCUGCGCGUUCGGCGGCGGCCUCAGGGACGACGGGCCCUACUCGCUGGCCUUCAACAACGAUCUCAUCCUGACGGGCUGCAACGCGCAGGCGACGCUAAAGAACGGCCACGUCACCGUCGCCGGCUGCUCCUCGUUCUGUGAGACCGAGGAUGUCGACGGAUCUGACUUCAACGGGUUCCCGCUGUCUAGGCACCCCACCAGCAUGGUGUGCUCUGGCAUAGCCUGCUGCCAGUCGGCCGUCCUCACCAACUACCAGGACCGGAGAGCGGGAAAGGUCCCGCACAGCGGCUCCUACGGCGUGGAGCUCCGGUGGCUUGGGUGGAACGGCACGGCCGACCGACGGUGGCCGCCCCGCGUGUACGUCGCCAUGAAUGGGUGGUUCGAGCAGACGCGUUUCUCCUACGAUCUGCUAUGGAAGGGAACGCGUCCGUCGGUGGCUGUUCCCGUGUUGCUUGACUGGGAGGUCGCCAGCCAUGGCGCGGAGCCUGACAGCAACACAAGCUCCUCGGAGUGCCCCGCCGAAGCUGCCCGAACCGUGUGCCGAAGCAACCACGCAUCCUGCAACAAAGGUGCACGGGGCUAUACAUGCUUCUGCGACGAGGGUUAUGAAGGCAAUCCCUACCUCCCACGCGGAUGCCAAGAUAUCAACGAGUGUGAAGAGCCAGGCAGUCGGUGCCUUGGUCCAUGUAUCAACAAGGAAGGAUCGUACGACUGUGGUUGUCCAUCAGGAACGCAUCGUGACAACGCAACUGGCGGAUGCAUCACUCCCGUCACAGGUAGCUGCAAUAGGUCAUGCGGAGACGUGCAGGUCCCAUACCCGUUCGGCUUUGGGGCUUCCUACUGCUACUGGCCAGGCUUCAACCUCACCUGCGACUACACAAGUAUCAACGGCGAGUCCCUACAGCUUCUACUCGAUGACUACGACGCCUUUCGAGUCGUCGAAAUCUCCCUUCAAAACACCACGGUGCGCGUCAUCGGCACCGGUGCCCUUACUAGUGUCACCACCAAACGUGAUGCGGACUUCAGUUUCGAUAAAGUCUUCACGGCAAAUAGAGAGACACCAUACUCCCUGUCCACCCGCAAUGAGCUCAUCCUGACAGGGUGCAAUGUGAAGGCGAAGCUGACUGCCGGAGACGAUGCCAAACCCGGCAUCAUUAGCGGGUGCUCCUCAUUUUGCUCCUUCAACAAUACAGGCGGCACCACUAAAGUUAGCACUGGAGGACAAAACAAGUACUGCUAUGGCAUGGGUUGCUGCCAGUCGCGUAUCUCCAUGUCGUCGCACGGCAUGCCCAAAAUGCUGUGGCUCGAGUGGCUUGACGAGAGCAACACAUUGGACUUAAAAACCAUGUCCUCCUAUGCGCUGAUAGCGGAGGAGGGAUGGUUCAAUCUCACAAUGCUCUCCAGUGACUCGGCAACGAAGGUGAUUCCUAUUGUUCUACAGUGGGAGAUCUUGGAUUCGGCAUUGCCCAAAGCAGAAAACUUGAAGAGAUCAAAUUAUACGAGUUGUCCUAUCCUAUGGAAGUGGCAGGCAACAUUUGCAAGAGCAAGAACAGUUACUGCAAUCUAGGGAUAAGAGGCUACUCAUGCCAGUGUAGCGAUGGCUACAGCGGUAACCCGUACAUGGUCGAUGGAUGCACAGGUGGCCACAAGUCCUUUAAAGGUACAAGUGUCAUUGUAGGAGUUGCCAGUGGGACGGCUCUCAUACUUAUGGUUUUCGCUGGAUUAUUCAUUUUCUCCCAAUUGAAAUGUCGAAGGGCGCAGAUGUUGAAACGCAAGUUCUUUGAGCAGAAUCGUGGGCAACUACUGCAACAAUUGGUGUCUCAGAGAACUGAUAUUGCAGAAAAAAUGAUCAUAACCUUGGAAGAGUUAGAGAAGGCAACAAAUAAUUUUGAUAAAUCUCGUGAGCUUGGUGGUGGAGGGCAUGGUACUGUCUAUAAGGGGAUUUUAUCAGACCUCCAUGUUGUCGCCAUCAAGAAACCAAAGAAGGUAGUUCAAAAGGAGAUUGAUGAGUUCAUUAAUGAGGUUGCUAUACUGUCACAGAUCAAUCACCGAAAUGUCGUAAAACUCUAUGGUUGUUGUCUUGAAACUGAAGUGCCAAUGUUGAUAUAUGAGUUCAUAUCCAACAGAACCCUUUAUGACCAUCUUCAUGUUGAAGGACCAAGAUCAUUGUCAUGGGACAAUAGGCUGCGGAUAGCAGUUGAAACAGCCAGAUCUCUUGCAUAUCUUCACUCAACAGCUUCGGUACCUAUCAUCCAUAGGCUGCGGAUAGCAGUUGAGACAUCAAAUCUGUUAAUAUACUAUUGGAUGAUACUCUAACAUCAAAGGUAGCAGAUUUUGGAGCUUCAAGGUAUAUUUCUGUAGAGAAAUCGGGUUUAACAACAAUGGUGCAAGGUACAGUUGGAUAUUUAGAUCCUAUGUACUUCUACACCGGACGGCUUACCGAGAAAAGUGAUGUUUAUAGCUUUGGAGUCAUGCUAAUAGAGUUGUUGACAAGAAAGAAGCCAUUUUCAUAUGUGUCUUUAGAAGGAGACGGCCUUGUUGUACACUUUGUUUCCUUGUUUGCAAAAGGCAAUCUGUUGGAGAUACUAGAUCCACAAGUUAUGGAAGAAGGAGGAAAGGAUGUUAAUGAGGUAGCUAUACUUGCCGUGGCAUGCGUAAAACUAAGGGGAGAGGAUCGUCCAACCAUGCGUCAAGUGGAGUUGACACUGGAAAACUUCCAUUCACCCAAGCAAUAUGUCAUGGAUGGCGCGGUGGUUGAUAUAUCCGAGAAGAAAAGAACUAUAAAAAUGUCCUUACCAACUAAUGACGGAAGAAGCAGCAACGAAGGGUCGACGAGGCAGUAUAGCAUGGAAGAAGAGUUCCUAGAGUCUGCGAGGUGUCCUCGGUAG